GAACCGAGCGAACGUUGUUCGGAAUCACUGGGCUUAAAGGGCGCGUAGGCGGGUGCUCAAGUCCGGGGUGAAAUCCUCCAGCUCAACUGGAGAACUGCCUCGGAUACUGGGUGUCUCGAGGGUGGUAGGGGUCUGCGGAACUAUCGGUGGAGCGGUGAAAUGCGUUGAUAUCGAUAGGAACUCCGGUGGCGAAGGCGGCAGGCUGGACCACUUCUGACGCUGAUGCGCGAAAGCCAGGGGAGCAAACGGGAUUAGAUACCCCGGUAGUCCUGGCCCUAAACGAUGGGUACUAGCUAGUAGGGUUCACAUGGCUUUACUGGCGAAGCAAAAGUGCUAAGUACCCCGCCUGGGGAGUAUGGUCGCAAGGCUGAA
rnacentral:rRNA from 1 species